GUGGGGAAUAUUGGACAAUGGGCGAAAGCCUGAUCCAGCAACGCCGCGUGAGUGAUGAAGGCCUUCGGGUUGUAAAGCUCUGUCAGAAGGAACGAAUAAGGACGCACUAACACUGCGUCCGAUGACGGUACUUUCAAAGGAAGCACCGGCUAACUCUGUGCCAGCAGCCGCGGUAAGACAGAGGGUGCAAGCGUUGUUCGGAAUCACUGGGCGUAAAGCGUAUGUAGGCGGCGGGAUGUGUUCGGUGUGAAAGCCCUCGGCUUAACUGAGGAAGUGCAUCGAAAACUAUUCUGCUCGAGUGCGAGAGAGGGUGGCGGAAUUCCCAGAGUAGAGGUGAAAUUCGUAGAUACUGGGAGGAACACCUGAGGCGAAGGCGGCCACCUGGCUCGUAACUGACGCUGAGAUACGAAAGCGUGGGUAGCAAACAGGAUUAGAUACCCGAGUAGUCC
rnacentral:rRNA from 1 species